rnacentral:rRNA from 1 species
GACUCUCGGCAACGGAUAUCUCGGCUCUCGCAUCGAUGAAGAACGUAGCGAAAUGCGAUACUUGGUGUGAAUUGCAGAAUCCCGUGAACCAUCGAGUCUUUGAACGCAAGUUGCGCCCGAAGCCGCUCGGCCGAGGGCACGUCUGCCUGGGUGUCACGCAACGUCGCC